GCUGUGCUGCGCCGAGCGGUCCGAGCUCACCGCAAACCCGCACCCCCCUUCGAGAACAGGGAAGGGGUAGCUCCGGGAAUGCAGCUGUGGGAAAGAGAAAUCCUGCCCACGGAUAAGGUGUCUGGGGGACUAAAAGCGGGGUCAGUUUGCUUUCUUCCCCCUCUUUUUUUUUUUUUUUUUUUCUUGUUACUGUUCCUUUCUUCCGAAGUACAGACGCUCGGUUUUUCUGCAGUGAGGACGUUGAAGUCUCUAAAAUGGCACCAAAUCUCUCAGCAAAACGGACUGUGUAGUUGCAUUGUUAAGCAUUUUCCUCGCUGACGUGCACCACAUUGACAUUAAUCUCAGAAACAAAUGUCAAAGUAAUUCUGACAUCGUUAGAGAGCCCGUUCUGCAGAUGUAGAUUUGGAAAGUUCCCCUGCCACUUGCAGGGAUAUCCGCACAUGUUAGCAAAAGUGCUGCAGGGAAUAAUGCCCAAUAAUUACCGCGAUCUUCGCGACCGACAGCAUCCUCACGUACAGUGCCCUUCGUGGACAGAGACCAGCGGCUAAACAAACACAAAUGAAUAAAAUAAGUGCAAGCCAGACUUCUUCGUGUAGGGAGUUGAAAUGCAAGGAGCGUAUAGAAUAAAAGAAAAACGUGUAUUUACAACUCCAAAUCAUUGCAUUGACAGCAAUAGAACAAGAUCACUAUACAUGACAGAAGGGGGGAAACUCCUGUUCGGACAGUGAUUAUUGUAUGACAAGAAGCAAUAACUACUUUGCUAUAAACAAAGCAGUUAAUUAUGAAGUUUAUUAUGAAGAAACCGAAUGAACAGCCGUCCAAAUAAAUGCCCUCUGCAUCCAA